GUGCUCACUUUGGCAGCACAUAUAUUAAAGUUGGAAUGAUACAGAGAAGAUCAGCUUGACCCCUGCACAAGGAUGAUAUGCAAAUUCAUGAAACAUUCCAUAUUUUU
rfam:Canis lupus familiaris chromosome 4, whole genome shotgun sequence.